rnacentral:rRNA from 1 species
CAGUAGCCGCGGUAAAACAGAGGGUGCAAGCGUUAAUCGGAAUUACUGGGCGUAAAGUGCGCGUAGGUGGUUUGUUAAGUUGGAUGUGAAAUCCCCGGGCUCAACCUGGGAACUGCAUCCAAAACUGGCAAGCUAGAGUAUGGUAGAGGGUGGUGGAAUUUCCUGUGUAGCGGUGAAAUGCGUAGAUAUAGGAAGGAACACCAGUGGCGAAGGCGACCACCUGGACUGAUACUGACACUGAGGUGCGAAAGCGUGGGGAGCAAACAGGAUUAGAUACCCCAGUAGUCCCUGUCUCUUAUAC